rnacentral:lncRNA from 1 species
CAUCUCCUCAUCCAUGGUGUCAUCGGGGUGAAAUGACGUCUAAAAACCUUUCAGGUGUUCGUCUCCGCCCGUUUACAUGGAUCCGCCUGAAACACGGAUCCUUCCCAGUACAGGUUAAUCUGUGCUGAAAUUAUGCGGAAUGCUGCAGCGUCCGGAAAAAAUAGAACACUAGUGAUAGGCUGCGGAGUCUGGCAAUCCGCAGCGUAAUGGAAAGAAGCCAGUGGAAAUCGACACGUUAACUUGAAUGGAAACGAUCAACUGCGAUUGGUGCAUACAGUCUUUUCGCUGCCGUUCCACAUGUGGUGGAAAUGGGGGGUAACACUCUUUUGGAAAGGGUAACUGGACUUUCCACCACAUCUGCAAUGGCUCCACUACAAAAUGGCGCCAAUUCCUAUCGGACACGUCUGUGAGGCGAGUUUUGUGGCAGAUUUUGGACAGCGUGAGUCCAGUUAGCCUUUCAACAAAGAACUAGAAAUCAUAGAUGCUGCAUCCUCAGUUUCAAACAACAUCUCCAGGUUUAGGAGCAACAUCUGCUGCCAUCCAGACUAAGACUGUUUCAGGGAAGACCUUCAUAUGAUCCCAAACCACAUUCUGACAACAGGGAUUACAACAGCAUGAACCUGGUCUCCUGGGUUCCCAGUUGUAAACAGAGAAAUGCAACAUGGUGAACUUUCCCUGUCUCUACGUUUUUGUCUGAAAAUACCCAGAAUAUUUCAUAAAUACUGAUCAGUGCGUAAACACACGACAGUCCCAGCUGCACUUAUUUCUUUAUUUUAAUUAACCUGAAUGUUUUUGACACUUUUGAUAUUUUUUAAUCGAGACAAAUUUGCAGGCUCACCUUACAUUGUCUUAUCUAAUUACUGAAUUAAAAUCACUCUUGUCAUUUUACUUUAUUCAUGCAUUCAUUUAGAGACCUCACUUCCAGCUUGAUUCCACCAUGAAGCGCCUCCUCGCUUUGCCAAAUCUAACAUCUUCCAUACAGGGAUCCUUCUGUGUUGUCCAUAAUGGAGUCUGUUCUCUUUGUGUAUGAAUUAAUUAGGCAUCAUCAGAACCCCCUUUGGACUCAUCGUGUAACUGGCAGUGAAAGAAAGAUUAGGCUGCUACACUCCCUGAGCUGUUCCUGGACCUGUGCCCUGUGUAAAUCUGUCUCCUCUGCUCCAACACGAGUCUCUACAUCCCUUACAUUACAUCCGCCCUCUCUGUUUGUUUUAUUUACCCCGGCAGCUUUGGCUUUACUUCCUCGAGAAAUAUCUGCGGCUCUGCCAGGUUGUCAUAUACGGCACCAAUCUUUCCCAAAGUAACCUCCAUCGCUGCCAACAAGCUCCCAGUUGUGGGACAACAUAUAGGCCCCAUCUUCCCUCUUUCCUGUCUUCUGUGCCCAUUUUCAGAGAUCUGUUGCCUCUCAUUAGUUCUUUGUUGCUCUCAAAUGUGCCAAUGACGGCCUCCAGCAGUAUGCAUUGUGCUUUGCUUGCACUGAUGGGAGAUUGCAGACUUCAGGUUGUUGAGCAGGCUGGUUGUUAUAAUGAUUGAGUGCUGCAGAAAUCACCUUUUGCCCUAUUUUAUGUUCUCUUGUAUGAACGAUGUGUCCCAGACAGACUCUCCCUCUCUGUCGCAUGUUCUACUUCAGAAACAGCCUCUUAAAUUCAAGGAGUAAGAUUUCCCCAGAGUUUGUCCCCAGGAUGCAGUUGACCUCAGAUUACACCGACAGCACUGGGCCUGCUGAGAUCUCUGUUCAUUGUUACUCACUGCCUUGUUUACAUGCCUACCUGCUCACACACUCAGAUUUCUGCUCAAUCAUUUCCUCAGUUUCUUACUAACUUGCUUUCUUCCUUGUAUACCUCCUCACUUUGUAAACUUAGUUCCUUACUCUCACCUACUUGCUUGCAUACAAACAUACUUAAUUCCCUAAAUACCUUAUUACUCAUUACUCCCUUAUUGCUUAUUUCCUGACAAACUUUCUUCGGUGCAUACUAACUUAGUCUAACUAGUCUCUGACGUCCUCCCUUACAUACUUACAAAGUAGCUCCCUUACUAAGUUCCUCUCAUGCCUACUUGCUUGCUCACUUACUUGCAUACUCACUUGUUUGCUAAGUCACUUGCAUCCUUGCCUACUCCCUUGUUCCCUUGCUCACUUGCUUGAUAACUGACUAGUUCCCUCACUCGCUAAGUUACUUGGAUGCUUGUCUGUUUACUUGCUUGCUAACUUUUUGCUAACUUUCUUCUUCACAUACUUGCUGACUUGCUCACAUACUUCCAUACCUGCUUGCUUGCAUAUUAGUAUGUAAACUUGCCCACUUGCGUAUUUCUGAACAAACUUUGUUAGGUGCAUACUUACUAACUUAGUCUCUGACCUCCUCUCUAACUUACUUACAAAUUAGCUCCCUUACUAACUUCCUCUCAUGCCCACUUGCUUACUUACUUAUCACUCACUCACUUGCCCAAUUGCUUGAUUACUGACUAGUUCCCUCACUUGCGAAGUUACUUGGAUGCUUGUCUGUUCAUUUGCUUGCCUACUUACUUGCUCACUUUUUGCUAACUUUCUUCCUCACAUGCUUCCUGACUUACUUGCAUACUGCCAUACUGCAUAUUAGCAUGUAAAUUGCUUACUUGCUAAUAUUCUGUCAAACUUUGUUAGGUGCGCACUAACUAUCUUUGUCUCUGACCUCCUCUCUAACUUACUUACAAAGUAGCUCCCUUACUAACUUCCUCUUAUGACUACUUGCUUGCUUACUUAUCGCUCACUCAUUUGCAUACUCAGUCAUUUGCAUGCUCACUUACUUACUUGUUCACUUUUUGCUAACCCUCUUCCUUACAUACUAGCUGACAUUCUUGCAUACUUCCAUACUUGCUUGCUUGCAUGUUAGUAUGUAAACUUACUCACUAGCUUAUUUGCAUACUUCCCUGCUUACAUACUUGCUUAUUUGGAUGCCAACUCUCUUGCUUGCUUACUUACCUACUCACUUGGUAGUAUAUCUCCUUACUUUCUUACCUACUUACUAGCUAACUCGCAUGCUCACUUGCAUCAUCCUUUUUCCUUGCGUACUUGCACUUUCAUAUUGCUAAUCUGACUGGCAGGUGUUCAUCAAGCAGGUAAAUUAAGCGUCAACUCCCCCUCUUUACUGUCUCUAUACUGUCUCUGUUUACCACCAGUUUUGAGCUGCAUUUUGGCAUCAUUACAUCUGUAACCGUCAAUGAAAGACUCUGGAUUUGGUUUUAUUCCUGUUUCCUGUGCCUUCAUCCAGGCAGACAUAAAAGUAAACUCAUCCUCCAACAUAUUUCUGCAGUUAUUCUGUCUCAUCGUCUUUGAAACUGAUCCAUCUCCAGACAUCCAUCUUCAUUUAAAAACGUUCAAACUCCAACCAUCUGAAAAAACAGCUUCCUUCAAAACACUUCCCCCAUCUUUGAUCUGUUAGUCUUCGUCUCUCCGUCUGUUUGUCUUCCCUCCUUUGUUUGUCUCCUCCUGAUGCUUCAUCAACCAGUCUUAGUGCUGAUCAUACCCAGCCAGCCAAAUAUAUUCAUUUCCCUGCAAUCCAAAUACCUUCAUAAAGCCUCCUGCUCUUCCAUAAACACAGCCAGCCUAUCCAUUUUCUUCUCAUUUUCGGGUGUAUUUUCUCCUCUCGGCUGCCUUAAUGCCUUCAUCAGACUCUGAACAAACAGCAGCUGUAAUGACUCCUGCAGACUCUGCAGCCUGUGCAUCUGCUAGAGGAUUUCCCCGAGAUGAAAAGAAAGUAUGAAAAAUAACGUCAAGCAGACCUUCGAGUUAAGAGCUGAUGAAAGCUGCUGUUGAGUGUUUUUUUUCCUUUCUGCAGCCAUAGAGCACAUUUGUGGUUUUUCCUCGUAUACUGACCUCUGUUCCUUUGUAGCUUUUGUUGUUUUGCAUUUCAAGCCCUCCUUGAUUCAUCCCCUGAUUUCCUAUUCUGGACAGACAUGCAAAACAUGCGUCUAAUAACCAGCAAUUUUACUGUCCCUGCUUUAACGGUGGGAGAGUGUUUCAUGCUUGAAGAAACAACCGUGGAGAAAAUAAGAACAACUUUUUGGUGUUUUUGGUUGAGGGUAUGGUUUGGGUUUUGCAGAUUGACCUGUUUAUUUCUGAUUUUGGAUCGUUUAGCUGAGGAAAGUUUUAAGCCAUCCAAUAGUGAAAGCAGAUAGUCAUCAAGGGUUGUAAGAUAACAGAGGAAAGUAAAUCAGUGUGUCGUCUGCAUAGCAAUAAAAGGAGCUGUAUUGUUUGCCAAGUAGCACGUGUAGAAGUAAAAGGAAAACAAAAAACAGACCAAGAACUACAUUUCGGCGAACACCGCAGGCAAUGAUAGAUGUCGAGGAGGAGUAUUUACUUAUCUUGUCCGCAAAUGUUCGAUGUAAAAGUUAAGAUCGAAACAAACAAAGUGGCUAAUCCUCGAACUUCAAACAAGAAGUCAUUUUAACUCCAAAUAUGAUUGGACGUCUCCUGAUUUUCACUAUCCAUUGUUUUGUGGCUGAGAGCUGGGAAAUGACCGGGGCCACAGUAACAACAUUCGAGUUUUCCACCCUGAGGAAGACACACGGGAAGACGGAGUAUUAGAGUAGGAGCCAAAAUAUAUUUGUUGAGGUACGUCACUUCCAGGGAUCCUCACUGAGGGGUGUGGCUUUGGUAUGUUUGGCGGGUUAUUUUAAUCUCACCGGUUUAGUCGGAUAAUUGGGUUGUGGUAAGCUUUGAUAAUUUUCUGUAGACCAUUUUUCACGGCCUCAUUCAUCCUGUUUUAACCUUUUGGCGCUGGAUCAGCGUGUUUACUUUUCCUUUUUGAACAAUAAAUCACUUUUUUAACACUCAAACUGGACUGAUAAUUGACAUGUCGCAGAUGCAAGCGAACCUUUUUCGUUGAAGGAAAACAGUCACUACAGGAAGUAAUGAAAUUACACUCAGACCUGGAGCGCAGAAAUUAAAUUACACACCUGCUGUGAUGCUAAACACAAAACCAGACAUUCAGCGUCUCACUAUUCCUCGCAGGUAAAAGAUCAUCUGUCCUGUUUGGGCCCUGAAAUCUACGGCGUAAAACCCGGUCCAUCUCCUGCUGCAGGCCUGUUCACACCACUUUGUCUCUGCUAUGAGAAAUCCUGAGUCUGCUGCACAGGCUUUAGUGAACAGUCACUUACUUGUCAUUCAGGACGUCACUGAGACUGAAGGUGAACCUGAAAUUAUCAUAUUUAUCACACAUCCAUACGCAGCCUUGGGUGAACACGUCAGCGAAAAUGUAAAAAUGAUUUAGGAGCUUUUCUUGGAUUUUCUUGAAAUGAAAACCUCAGACAUCCCCGAAUGUUUCUAUUAUCAGAAAUAUAUAAAUACUGUCUGCAAGUUGGAUAGCUGGGAGCCAAGAGGAGGAAACAGGAGUUAUAAAGUCUGAGCGUCAGAGACGGAGAGCGGACUGAGAUCAUAAAAAGACGGGGAGUGAGAUCUCUCUGCAGUUACAUUUCUCUGUUUUCUGUCUUCAUCUCGACUUUAAGUGUCUCGUCUUUAAUCAAAUAGACAUUCUGGAUAUUUUAGAAGUCAGAGAGAACUGAGCGUGCUCAGUACGAGUUUCACUCUAUAAUUCAUGACAGUCAAAUAAUGCAGGACGGGGUCCAAUAGUCAGAAUGUCUGCAGGGUCGAGCGACAGCAGCUUCCCUUUAACGACUUUAAACAAGCUGUAAAACAAGAUCAACAUGUCGGCUAAAUAAAUGUGAGCUGGUGUGAAUGAGGCUGGAGGUCUGUCUUCACACUGAGCAGGAGACUGAAGGAAAGCUGUUAAAGAUCCACUGCAGUCAGACUUCAUGUCUCUGCUUUCUGAGCUCAGGUCACUCAGAAGGAAAUUCAAGUAUUAAGUUUAUCACUCGGCGUACAAGAAAAGAAGAGCUGUAAAUCGCAGUUUCUUAAAUCAAAAAGUGACUAAAUCAUCAUAGAAGCUGUACAUACAAUCAAAACAAAGAGGUUGUUAAAACUGCUGCUAUCUUUGGUUAUGUCUCUUGUUAACACCCCUCUCUUUUAUUCGGUCAGAGUUCAUUAUGUUUAUUAUUAUUAUCAUCAUUAGUCUGACCUUGGUGUAAGAACUCACACUGACGAUUUUGACUCCAAAUCUCUUUGCAUGCUAUCAGGGCUGGGCGGUAAAACGAUAACGAUAUACUGUAUAUCGAAAAUUAAUUUCCCUCAAUAUCAAUAUAAAACACGAUCAAUAUGCUUCUCGAUAGUCGUCAUUCUGCCAUGUUUUGGUAGACUAUACGAAUAGCCAAUGAUAAGAGGAGUUGGUCCUGGUCCGCUUCACUCUGAACCAAUCAUGUGCUGAAUUAGAACCAACUGCAUCACAGCAGACAGCAGCUACACCCAACCAUAGCACUUGAACAGGUGAAGCCGACAGCACUGUUGGUGAGAAACAAAGAAAAUGAGUGCUACCCCCGACAGAAAUGACCAUGAAGGCUCAACAGAUGACCACAUCGAUGUCAACCACAACACUGGCGUUAGGAAAACGUCGGUGGUGUGGAGGUAUUUUGGUUUUUGGAGGUCGGACAUGAAGCAGAGUAAUGUGGACUGUAAAUUAUGUCGAGUACAUGUUCUCACAAAGUCGGGGAAUACCUCAAAUCUUUUUCACCACCUGAAGCAGCGCCACGCCGCAGAGCACGCGCAACGCAAAAGGUUACAAAGCCCAGCCGAAACAGACGACAAUUCAGUCCGCUUUCUCUAGAGCAACGCCUUACGACAAAACGUCAAAGAGACACAAAGACCUCACAGAUGCAGGAGAUUAUUGUGUUUUAAAAGACAUGCGACCAAUAAACACUGUUAAAAAAAAAAAUGAUAUCUUGAUUUAUAUCGAUAUCGACUGAUAUGGGAAAAAAAUAUAUCGUGGUAAACUUUUUUCCCAUAUCCCCAGCCCUACAUGCUAUCAUGCACGUACAUAUUUUAAAGGUGGGUUGUUUGUUCAGUCAGCUGGUGUAAAAAUGGAAAUACUGCAGAAAACUGGAUUUAACAGAAAACCAACAGUGAAAAUUAACAGACAGGAAACAGUCAACUCCUCAUUGUUGGAGCUCGCACAUUAGCCUCAGUGACAGAUCAUGAUGGUGCCGAGCUGUCAGAGGAGGAGAAAGGUAUUAUUAAACCUCACAGCAGAAGAACCCACUUUGGAGUUGAUAAUAAAGGUCAAAUAGUCUUUCCGCCUCAGUGAGUCUGCAGCCUCUAAUAAAUUAAACACGACAGAUGACGCCCGACUGAACUCAGGAAGUUUUUAACGCUGUCAAACUUUUCCUACUUUCUACUUUCAUUUUUAAAAGCCGGGGUGGUUUUUGGUUUUAUUUGACUUUGCAGGGUCUCCAGAUGGCAACGAUUUUGACAAAACGACAGAGACGACGGGCAACUGGGCUUUUCAAGUGACAAGCUGUUGUGCCGGUGAUGUGAACCCUCGCCGGGCUGACGGAGCUGACAGCUCACAUCCCAAUUCACAAAGUGUCACAUCAGGAAAUAAUGUAGAGAGCCGCAUAAAUAUUACACUCAGAAACCUGCAGUCGAGUGAUUCCUAAAUAUUAGGGUGAAUCUAUCUGAUUUAAGGUCGUUAUCCAUGUUGAAGGUAAAACUUAGUGAAGCGUUUCACUUUCCUGGACAUUUAUUCUUUCACUUUAAGGAAAUUUUUCGACCCUUUCUUUCUUUUUUUCUAAAUGCUUCCUCUAUUCCUGACUCUCACAGUAUCUGACGCUCUGCAGCUUCUCUUGCAUUUAACAGCCUCAGACCCGCGUAUGCAUAAAACCACAUUAAGUGGAGAUAUGAACUGCUCAGGCGUAGGGAGAUAUGGUCAAAAUGAAUUCACGAAUGAAGAAUUUCUCCCUCUCUUUCCAUCUCUUUUUCUAUUUGCCUCAAUUUCCCUAUAGUGUUUUUUCUUCCCCCUUUGAGAAAGCUGAGAGGAGAAACCGCUUCUAAAUUGACUGACAGAAGAAGAUACUUCGAUGACUGCUUUAACCGCUUAUUCCGGGAGCGCUCAUGUGUGAGGGGAGAAAAGGCUGGAAUGAUAGUUGCGUGCAUUUCAUUGUGCAGCUGCAGGAAUCCUUGCAGCUUCAAAAGAUAUCAUUUGUGAAGGCUCUUUAACAAUGCCUUCUGUUUGAGGGAGACUCCUCCUCUGAUGUGCGCGGGAAGAAAACUGUAUAUAUUAUCGUUAUAUACCAGCAAACACACACGUCUGUAUGCGUCUCCUUGGAAAUGCAUUUGUGAGAGCACAUAUGAGUGAGUGACUGUCCUCAGUGGAGCUGAUUGUUCUUCUGAGUAAACCAGCAUGUAAGAGUAUUUCUAAGUGAAGUCGGUUUGACUUUCAUGUCACCAGAAAGUGUUUGAGCAGAAAAAAAUCCUGUGCCUGAACAUUUUUUAUGCGAGGGGGUGUCACCACUAUAUGACAGUGGAGCUAUUGAUUAAUAUUGGAAGAUAUUAAUGAUUUAUAACAAUAAAAACAAUUGAUUUUUAUUUGCAGCGUAAUUUGCAGACGGUCCCUGCACACUCGCCCGGCUACCGACUGUGCAUAGAGAUCAGUGUCAUUCAUCCAGCUCGAAGAACGGCUUGUUUUUGUAAAACAAAUCGGUACCUUGUGUUUUAUUUUGGAAAGGACGCCGGAUUUUUUAUUUUGUGUCUAUGCCUGACCUCCUUUCCAGCACGGGUUGAAUUUAUGUGGCAUGCUGCAGUGUCUGGAAAAAAUAGAAACCUGGUGAUCGUCUACGAAGCCUGCUGAACCGCAGGGGGCCAGAAAGAAGCCUGUGGAAUUUGACACAUUAACUUGAAUGGAAACGGUCAGAGGCAAUCGGCGCCGAUGGCCUUUUUGCCACCGUUCUGCAUGUGGUGGAAUUUGGGGGUUAUACAGAGGAAAAAAGAUUGGGCCGAGAUCGGACCCUUGAGGGCAGGGCUUGAUGAUAACUAUUUUCAUAAGGAGCAUGUUCUCUUAAGUUGAAAAAGUAAAGAACUUUAGGGGCACGAUGAAAAUUGAUCAAAUAAUGUUUGUCUUAUUGGUCGACAUAAGUACAAUUAUUUAAAAUCAGUUUUAGGUCUUUUGGUCACAUGACAUGGAAGCUUUUGAAGGAAAACAGCCUUUUCUGAGAACAUCAACCAGUAAUUUAUUGACGGUCCCUUAUUCAACACCGACGUUGACAGUGAGGGUGCCGAGUAGAUUUAACCGCGCUGCUGUUGUUAUUCCCGGUUAUGGAGAGUGAGAAGACACCGGUAGAUCGGCAGAAUAUCCAACCUAAAACUUGUAGCCUCGGCUGAUUUUUUUAUGCGCACACGUGCCCCUGGAGACAUUUUACAAUUUGCGCUCAUCUAUUUUUAGUCGCAAAUGUGAGUGAAAUGGUCGCACUGUCGAGUCCUGCUUGAUAUCAAUCACCAAAUCAACAAAACAUGUUAGAAAGUGGCGAAUCAACUUUUGUCAAACACUAAAAAUACCGUCUCCACCGUCCGUUUACGUUUGUUUACAUCCCAGCAGCACAUUUUCAUGAUUAAACACCCACUGGUCAAAGCGCUGCGUGUAAACUCUUUAACGUAAAUAGAUUUUUUGAAGAACAUGUUCACUUCCUGAGUUAGAUUCAGUGAAAAAAGCCCUUAUAUCGAGGUUGUGGAGCUGCCAGUGCAGAAAAGCUGCUGAUGUGCACAGGCCCUAAGUCUUUUCCCUCUACGGCUAAAUCAGAGAAUAACUCGAUAAAAUAAGAACAUGAAUCCAGAGCAGUGAUAGAAACCAGACUCUAAUGGACAGGUCCUUUCACUGUGUACUUCCUUCACACUGAGACACACUAUCUCACACACACACACACACAUUGCCCACCCAUUAGACAGAAAGGAGGAAACUCGCUGCUCCAAUAGAUCAGGCUCAGACCAGUCAGCAGUAAACUUAUUGAUGAUACAGUAGAUUAUUGGUUCUGAUUAAUGAGCUGCUCCACACAGUGUGUCUCCUGUCCUACCUCUCCACAUACAUUAUGCAGAUUAGUGAUGCCAGUUUGGCCUCCAGCUGAGCUCUAUCGACAGUCUGAACAAAGGAGCUUUCACUCACAGCUCGCGCUGUAUCAGUGCAUCUGACCGAGAGCGGGCACAAAUCAAGUAAUUGAUAGUACAUUAGACCGCUGGAUGAUUCAGUUCCUGUCUCAUCCAUUAUACCAGGCAGUCCUUGUGAUAAGUCCAGACCCGGCUACAGGGAUUGAUUGUAAAGAAAAGAAGAAGAAAACGAGCCAACGCCUCAGAGGAAAUAUUUAUGUCAGCCUCUUCAAACUUGUUUACAAGGAGGAUGUGGAUUUAAAGACGCCUCCAUCUCAGCUCCAUCUCAGCAGACAUCCACCGAGUCUGUUUCCAACCAGUUAGUGAGGACGUCUGAGUUCAGUGUCAACCAACCUUAUAGCUUUGUUUUGAGGUAAAUGAGAUCAUCACAUAACUGUUAUAUCUGCUGCAUUAAAGGGAGAUUCCGGCGUAAAAUUAUUUUAAGGUCGAACACACCGAAACACAGAGUUAGACCCCCCCUCCAGAGAUGAAUGUUGCCGACUUCUUGCUUCUCUAGUUAUACCAACUUUAGUAACGACCGCAGGAUAGCAAUAAAGAGAGCCACGCCCUCAACCAAAACGCAACUCUAUAGCCACAAAUAAUGCUCAGAACAGCACCUAACUUCAUCAACAGGACAUAUAGGGUCACAGACAUAGUACUAGACACCAAACAUCUUUUUAACUUUGACUCAUUUCUUUAGCAAAGAGACUAAACACAACUCGCCUACUCUCUUCCAGCAGUCCAUUACGGACUGCAGCGGGGUGCCGCAGCUCAAGGAAGAACAUUUAUGAUCAUUUCUUCAUGGAAAUACAAUCAGACCGAGACGCUAAGACAGAAGAACUACCGCGUCUGUAAAAUGAUUAAUAUGAUAAAUAUUCCUUCAAUCAAUCAAACCUCAUUUUAAAGCACUUUUCACACAUGGAAUGAAGCACAAAGUGCUGUCCAUUCAUGCAGGAUAUUAAAAAAAAAAAAACAAUGAAAUAAAAUAAAUACAAAUACAAAUACCAAUACCAAACCCCACCCAGCCUCCCAGUCCCCAUUCAACACAUACAGCACUCACACACACUGAUGCACACACAAAAGACCAGAACUCGUCAACUUGCCACAGAUGACUGAGGGAACGCUACCUUGAGUUAAAAAAGAUGAGCAACCAAGAUAAAAUAUAAUAAAGGUGAUAAAGCGUUAAAAGUUAAUUAAAUAAAAGUCUUAAAAUCAAACAAUAAAAGAGAGUAAAUUCAAAAAAGAGGUAAUAAAACACAAAAUAAUUACUCUAGGACUAAAACAGCGUAAAAUCACAUAAUGCAGAUUAAAAGCCAGACUAAAAAGGGAGGUCUUUAGUUUACUUUUAAAAAUAUAAACAGGAGGUUCUUCAGACCAAAUACUUUCCUUGAAAUAUGAACUUCAAGGAAAUGAUAAAGAAAUUAUCACAAAUGUUGUUCCUUGAGCUGCGGCACCCCGCUGUAGUCCGUAAUGGACUGGCCUGAGGUCUCCCUACAAACAAGCGUCUGCUGGAGGAGCGUAGGUGAAUUGUAUUUAAUCUCUUUGCUAAAGAAAUGAGUCAAAGUUAAAAAGAUGUUUGGUGUCUAGUACUAUGUCUGUGACCCUAUAUGUCCUGUUGAUGAAGUUAGGUGCUGUUCUGAACAUUAUUUGUGGCUAUAGAGUGGCGUUUUGGUUGAGCGCGUGGCUCUCUGUAUUACUAUCCUGUGGUCGUUACUAAAGUUGGUAAAACUAGAGAAGCAAGCGGUCGACAACAUUCAUCUCUGGAGGGGGGGUCUAACUCAGUGUUACUGUGUGUUUGACCCUAAAUUAACUUUACGCCGGAAUAUCCCUUUAAUCUCGGUGAUAUAACCUGCUAACCAACAGUUCGUGUGACUCGAGCUCCUGCUGCAGAAAUGGGCUGUGAGAGACGUGAUUUUCUUCGGUUAUUGCAGAGUAAACAGGGAGAUGCAGCCAAAAGUGAUUUAUCACACAAAGCAAGAGCGUCUACAUGUGCACAAUACUGUUAUUAUUUCUGUUCCUGCAGAUAAUGAGCUGUUUGUGUUACACAACACAACAAUACAACUCUGAACUCUGCAGGUUAUAAGAGCAGAAGUUCUUCAAAUGCAGAAAAUUUAAGUUUUAUUAUGAGAUGAUUUCAAAACGUCCCUGUUGAACCAUCUCCACAUGUCAGAGCGAUAAAAAGAGAAGAACAGUUUCACUCUUUGUUUGGACCAAACGACUCAAGAGUUAGUAUUCGACUCAACAUCCCAACAAAAGGACUGUCAGAGGAAGUGGCUUCUGAGCGGGACAUGAAGAGCGCCGCCACGCUUUGAAUGAAAAAUGUGAAGCUGCUCAGAAUGACGGAGGUGACACCGGCAGGCUGCGCUGGACUCCCAACAGCUGUAGCCUUUCCAUGAAAUGCUAAAUAAACCUUUGAUGGAGCGAGAGGACGAGACGGAGCUGCAGGAGAAGAUUUUAAACAGACUGUGCGUGAAAUCAAGACUGUGAGCGUCAUUUCUGUCGGUACAUGUGUUCUGUCAGGUUUCGGACAAUCUGCACACGCACUGAUGCUGGUAUUUGCUCUGUGCGACUCAUGUUGAUGCUUCAGGAGCUUGUUUGUCUCUGUGUACAUUUCAUACAGCUUGUGUGUAUCCUCCACUCGCUGUGUAAUCUGGCUCGUGCCUGCAGGAGUGCAGGUGCUGCUGCAGUCUGUCUGUGCGUGAGUGUGUAACCUGGCCAGGGAUCCGUGCUGUGAUAAAGGGCCAGAUGCCACCUCAGCUCUGUGCCACAUGGAGGCAGACCAAAGCUGCUCCUGGACUCAGAGAUUAGAGAAUAACUGACUGAUAACGGCGAGGCAGAGAGGCGCCGCGAGCACGGAGAGCACGGAGACGGAGCUCAACCUACGGCCACGAAAGGCAGAAGCCUGUGAACGCCGCGGAGGUUAUUGACAGACAGCCAUUGAGUCAGUGUUGCAUCAGCUGAACUGCAUUGUGGGUACAUAAUUAUGCAUUGAUAUGGAGGCUGUAAAUAACAAGCAUACCUCCAGAGCGCUGAAGCUAUGCAAAUGUUUAUGUAAUACAUUUAAAAAACGCAACAUGUGUCGUGUAAUUCAUUUAGAAAGCAGAAUACAUCUGCAGUUUAUUACGGUAGAGUCAAUUAUAAAAGAUUAUAUAACAACAUUUGGAUGAAUUAGAGAGGAAAACGGCUUCAUGUGGGGAUUUAAAGGCUGAGGUGAAACAAACACCAACAAACCAACAGAGAAAAGAGAGAGAGAGAGAGAGCGCCUUGAUGACGCAACAGUUUACGUUCAUUGGCUUAGCUAACAUGUUUGUGCGCCUCCAGAUAUCACAGCGCGAGAUGGUCCAUAUAUCUUAUCGCUCUUCUUAUAGAGAGUAUCUCUGAGAAAACUGACUGACAGAAAAACAUCUGUCAGUCAGACACAUCAAACAACCUGCACCAGGUCGUCACUGAUGACCAUCCUGUUUGGUCAAAACAUGGAGUCUCUGGGGGUUAGUGUUAAAAUCAUGUAUUAAAAUUGAAAUGUGGAAUCACCUUGUGGCGCUGUUUGGUACUGCAGAAAUAAAGCAUUCAUUCAACUGGCUGUUACAAAUUCUAAAUUAGAAGUCAGAAUUCAGUUUUCAGUAAAAAUUCAGGGGGAAAAAAAGUCACGUCUUGAUUUGAUGACAAAUUUCUGCACUGAAGAGCCAGAAAUUUCGAAAAAAGUCAGAAAUUUGAAUUUUUUUGAAUUUUAUGUAAAAAUCCUGACCGACUUUAAAAUCUGAAGUCUGAUUAAAUUUUAGAGUUCUGACUUUAAUCCCAUUUGAUAAUUCUGAUUCAAUCCCAAAUUCUAAAUUAAAUCUCAGAAUUCUAGAUCCAAAGUCUGACUGUUAAACUUUAUGCUUUAAACUGAUAAAUCUGACCUUAAUCUCAGCAAAAUCACAUUAAUCUCUCUUUUUUUUUAAUCAGAAGUUGGACUUCAUCCGAGAAUUUUUAUUUUAACCUCAUUAUUCACUUUGAUGUCAAAAAUCUGACAAACAUCAAUUUCUCUUUAGUGAUGAAUAAAAUUCUCGUAUUUUAUUGUAUUUUAAAUCUCAGAUUGUUGACUUUAAUCUCGUUAAUCUCAUAAAUCUCAUUGAUCUCAUUAAUCUCUCAUUGAUCUCAGAAUUCUGACUUGAAAUUCAGAAUUUUGAAUCAAAUAUCAGGAUUCUGAAUUUAAUCUCAGAAUUCCAUUUUAAUUUAUGAUUCUGGCUUUAAACUCAGAUUUCGGAGAAAAAGUUAAACCAAAAAAAUGUGUGUCGUUUACUUUUUUAAAUGACUAUCAAUUGGCUUCAGUCCUUGCUGGAACACAGUGUUAUAUUUUGAAAAUAUAUAAUAUCAUAUAUAUAAUUAUAUUAUGAAACCCCAAAUCCUGCAGCUUCUGUCGAACACUAAUCUAACUCUAAACUCUAAUCAAGAGUUAAUUUGAACAACAAUCCCAAAGAGUCGUUUUAGACGUUUCUCCUUUUUGUUGUUUCACAGUGAAGCGCUCCGUCCUCUUUCAUGCAUUUAUUCUGCUUUUCCAAGACAGACUGAGGUUAUACAAACAGGUUAUUAGUUCUCUCAUAGAGUGAAGAUCGUCCAUAUUGCUAUGGAUACUGCGUACUGCUGUAACUGCAGGCUUUUAGCCCCUACACAUGUCCCUGUGGUUUUCCUAUAUAUCAGCUGUAAUGUACGUAUGAAGAGCAGCCGAACAGAGUGAUACUUACAGCAGGAACUGACUCUGUGUUUGUUCAGCUGCUUUUACAUUUCCCAUAUGAGCUGCACAUUAAAUCUGGAGGUACUUGGAUAUGAAUGACGCACUGAGACUCUUCAGAAAGGUCGCAGUGUGUCGAUAUGGAAGAGGACGGUCACCUUGUGCUGUAUGUUUUUUUUAAAGGUACAAUUUAUAUGAAUUCUUUUAAUGAUAACCCCUAUAUAUGUGUGUUUUUGCGGUCUUUGUUAGUAGUCCUUGACAUGGUGAUGCACAAUGUUUUUGGAAAAAAAACCUUCCCGUCUCAUUUUUUUUGCUCAGUCUUUCAAAUAUUUGUAUUCUCUCACAGAAAAGCUGAGCAUCCUUCACUCAACAUCCAAGGCUUACAGAGAAAGUCUGAUCUUGUUAAAUCUGGCCGUAUUUUGAAAUAUUUGGGAGUGUGAAUGGUUUCCAAACAAAAGAAGAUCGAAUAUUUGUGCUUUACUUCAGCUCUAGUGAAUGCUAAGUAGUCCAGGAAAAAACUGGGAGGCAUCAAAGGGGGCCCACAACAGAAACGGACCUUUCUACUGAAGGUAAAAUACAAGUUUUAUCAGGGCUGCUGUGGCUCAGAGGUGGUUUGAUCUCAGCUCCUACAGUCUGAAAGCUGAGGUGUUCUGGAAACUUGGAUAUGAAGGGAAAUGAACUCAAAGUUUUUUGUUUUUUGGUUAAAGGUGGGGUAGUCCGGAUCUGAGGAAGGUCCAGUUCUGAGGAAUGGGGCCCAGUCAAGGUGAAAGUCAAAAGCAUUGGUGCUACUGUAGAUGCCAACAGACUACCAGCAAACACAAUGUUUGCAGGACUUCUACAACGAGGAUAAAGUGACAUAGUCCAGGACCCGAGGGAGGACAGUUUAGCGAUGGCGCUACAACACGCUACAGCAGGUCCGUUUGACAAGAAACACUUCUGUUACAGACACUUGUCUUACUUUGUUAAAGUGGUUUACCUGUCCAGCAGAAAGGUUACAGGGUCACCAAGAUCCCCAAGCGUCCCCCAUGGUUUAUGUUGACCCGGCUUUUUAGCUCUUGUCCGGUCUACCUCCGUUUUAAGCACCCGUUAUUCCUCCAGAGUCUCCGGUAUUUAAUUUGUUUUCUUGCUUGUGUCGGCAGUCGUGGCCAAAGGAGGAUUCAGACAAUUUUCCGAACUUUCUGGUUGGUUUCUACUGUCCGAUAUUGUAGCACGCUAACUUUGUUUGGGCUCCUGAACGACACGGGGGAGCAGCGUUUUCUUGUUGACUGUUUUCUUGUUGACUGUUUUUGCUGACUGUUUUCUUGUUGACUGUUUUCUUGCUGACUGUUUUUGCUGACUGUUUUCUUGUUGACUGUUUUCUUGCUGACUGUUUUUGCUGACUGUUUUCUUGCUGACUGUUUUCUUGCUGACUGUUUUCUUGCUGACUGUUUUUGCUGACUGUUUUCUUGUUGACUGUUUUGGUGUUGACUGUUUAUGGUUGACUGUUUUCUUGUUGACUGUUUUCUUGUUGACUGUUUUGGUGUUGUCUGUUUUCUUGUUGACUGAUUAUGGUUGACUGUUUUCUUGCUGACUGUUUUCUUGUUGACUGUUUUCUUGCUGACUGUUUUCUUGCUGACUGUUUUUGCUGACUGUUUUCUUGUUGACUGUUUUGGUGUUGACUGUUUAUGGUUGACUGUUUUGGUUUUGACUGUUUUCUUGUUGACUGUUUUGGUGUUGACUGUUUUUUGCUGACUGUUUUGGUGUUGUCUGUUUUCUUGUUGACUGAUUAUGGUUGACUGUUUUCUUGCUGACUGUUUAUGUGUGAGUGUUUUCUUGCUUGUGUCGGCAGUCGUGGCCAAAGGAGGAUUCAGACAAUUUUCCGAACUUUCUGGUUGGUUUCUACUGUCCGAUAUUGUAGCACGCUAACUUUGUUUGGGCUCCUGAACGACACGGGGGAGCAGCGUCUGCCUCACAACCAAUCAGGUUAGAGGAGGUGGAGAACGGCUUUGUUUACAGUCAGAAAGAGCGGACCGCUCAAAAAUGUUCAAAUGUUGACGACACAGACAUAAGAGAACACAGAGAUAUCGAUAUAUUACCAAAUGUCAUCAAUAACUAGUAAGUAUUGACUGAUAUUAAAAGAUUUUUUAUCUAAACACCACAAAAAAAGAUGCUUCUUUAACGGAAUCCUGCCUACUCCAUCUUUAAGGGACCAAAAAUAAAAUAAAGAGAAAAUCACUAAAAAACAGAAUAUCUGCAUUUAUAAACAAAGAGAUAAUAAAGUGUACUGGCAGCUAUGGAAACUGGAAUCUCGACAAGAUGAGACUAAGAAGGGAAUCUAACAUACAUAACUACCUGUUCACUAUACAUUAUCUGGUUUACUGUCAGUCAGAGCGGCACCUUGUUAUCACCACAACCCUAACUAGGCUACAGAUCCUCCAAACAGAAUUCAGAAGUUUCUUUAAAGAGAACUAGGUCCUGUUUAAACAGCUGAAAACAUCAUUGAACUGACCUUUAAAAAAGAGACGAUAUAAAAGGUCAUAACUUCAAAAUAUUAUUUCUGCAGAAGGGAAACUAUCUGCUAUACUGUCAGUCUCUGAAUACCAAUCUGGAUCUGUCAGAGUCAAAUAUCAGCGCUGUGGGGGCGCUGUGAUUGGGCUGAUUACCCGGGAGGUUUCCAUUUGAGCCGUCCUGGUCUCAUAACUGUCCGUGUAGAAAAAAACCUAGAAUUAAUUUAAAAAUGGCUGAACCUUUCUCACAUUUACACCCUUAAUCAUGAAAAAAUGGCUGAUAGUUAAUGAAUCCAUGCAGCUGGCAGGAAACAAACCUGGGCCAAAGCCAUAUCUGAACAACACCGUUUAAAUGAUUAAAUAUCUGAAAAGUUUAUACCGUACAAUAAAACACAUAAACAACCAAAGACUAAUAGUGUUCGCCUUCUCAGUAGUUACCAAAUCAACUUUAUUACAGCUGACAGAAACCCACUUUUGACUUUCCAAACCCCCUCAGAGGGGGAAGUCCAAGUUCAGCAGCAGGCUUGUAGUAAAACGUGGAGCUCUGGCAGGACAAAGGCUCCAUCUGUCCAACAGUUUAUUAUUCAUUUCUUCUCUUUUUUCUUUGUUUCAGCGCUGGCUUGUAAACGCUGGAGGCCUGCGGGUCCUACUUUUCAAGUUUUAUGUUUACGUUGGCCUUCAAGCUACCGAUUCACUGGCAGUCAACAAGUACUUGGCUGAACUGAAGCGAUCUGGAGCCAAGCAAAAGAUUUGUUUGUCUGAGACAAAAACACGUUAUUCUUGUUUUAUUGUUUCAUUUUGCAAUAUAGCAAAGGCAGCACAUUAGGGCCGAAAGCAUUACUUUAAUUGGGCCAUCAUAGAGAGAUGUAUGAGUGGGUGGGCCUGUCUAUUGGUCAUUGCUGUAAUGGAAUGGACACAUCUUUUCAGAGUCGCCAGAUUGCAGGAUUUAAGUGGCUGCUAUUUCCUGGCUGGCGGUAGCUGCCGUCUAAAAAGGUUCAUUUAACCGAUGCUGAGUGUUCAGUUUUCUUCUUUCCUUCUGCUCCUCUCUGUGAUGGCUCCAUCCAUUAAAACAUGCCAGAGUGUGCCCAUUUCAACCUGUUUUACAUCCCUACAGCUCCACUCUCCUUUUUUAUUGCGUUAAUAUGGUUACUUAGGGGCAGGUCUUAUGGAUUUAGAGCCUUGACACUCUGUAUGUCUGCUUGAAAAUAAAUAUUGUGUCAGUACAAGGAUUAAAAUGUGCUUUAAUGAGCAAACAAAGCCGCACAUUGAUGCAGAAACACACACAGUGGUGAAUAGAUCCGUCCCCCUCAAACAGAUUCACUUUCACUUCAUCAUAAACAGCUCAGAUCAACCAGAAACAAAGUCUGGAAACACAAGGGAGUUCUUAUUGUGUUAUAGCAGCACAAACAAUCAAACAAGCACAGGUGGAGAGAGGAGAGCAGGGAGAGGAGAGAGGAGGAGGAGGGAGGAGAGUGUGUGUGUCUGUGUGUGAGUCUGAAAAGCUGAAGGACGGAACGAGCGCAAACACAGUUCUGACUGCUGGACCAUAAAAAUGUGAGAAACAUCGUUUCAAAUAUCAACCCAAGUCUCGACAUUAUGUCAAAGUACAAAAUACUUUACUACAAGUGAAAUCAGACAUUUGAUUUAGUGCGCAUUAUCUCCAAAAUACAACAAUCAAACUUUAUUUAUAAAGUGCUUUUCCUACAAAGAAUGUAGCACAAAAUACUUUACAGUUUGUUUAGAACAAAAACUAUCCCAUAUACACACGCACACACAGAGACAGGGAUAAACACACACACACACCAACACACCCGCACACUAAGAUGGUGGACAUGAGGCUGAGUCCAGAUGAUGAAGCCAAAGCUCUUAAGAUUAAGUAAGAAAGUGAUGUGUGGUCUUUUAGAGUUAUGGUUUAAGUUACCUUUAAAAAAAUGUUGUUAUCCAGUUUAACAGAAAGAAAAUGAUUGAUUUUAGGAGAAACUCUUCUUUUACACCUUUUGUAGUUUUUAAAAAAUACGUUUUUAGCUUUUAUCAAUAUCAAUCAAACAUUUUUAGUUAUAGUUUUAAUUAAUGAGCAGUCCUAGAGGCAAGCACUCACUCAAUCCCACAAUAUACUUGUUUAAAACUAAUUAAAAACUGUGAAUAACUGCUUUUAAACUCACAAACUUUGAAAUAAAAUAUUACACUCACCUGUUGUCACACUGAAUACUGUGAAUAAAGGUGUAAAUAUCCUCACUUUAAUCUAUAAAACUGCUUCAGUCUUUCUUUAUGUUCAAAAAACUUUAAAAUAACCUUUUUAACAUCCUAACGUCCCUCUGAAGAGACUCACCGGAUAAACUCUCACACUCACAGACAGAGGUUCGGUUUCUCUUCCUCCAUCCGCCAUCCUCGACAUUAUUUACGGUCAGUUUACCGACAAACACAGACGUUAAAAACUCAAACACGUGUUCAUAAAAGCCACUUUUACUCUCUGUUAAAGUUUAGAAAAAGUUAAAUAAACUUUUAAAGAUCUAACUUUAACCGGCGUCUUACCGGAACAGCAGCAGCUCCGCCAUGUCCGUCUUCAGGUGUUACACUAAUUACGGCCCCCCUGCAACCACAGGUAAAAGGAACCAUGGCUGUGUCUCAUUUCUUCUUCUUCAAAGGUGUUUAUUGGCGGUUGGCAAACCAACGAGAAGGUGCAUUACCGCCACCUACUGGACUGGAGUGUGGAGCAGUAAAUUGGUAGACAGAAAAAAUUGAUAAAUUAAUUAAAAAAAAAAAAAAAAAAAAAGGAAUUAGAUCCUCUCCAGUAGCCCCGAGUUUUUCAAAUAUGUCAUUAGAUGCUUGAUUACAAUUUCUGAUUCCAUUUACAUUUUCUUUUUGGCAACAAAUCUUCGUUUUCGGUGGUUUUCUCUUGUUCGUUGCUCAUUCUGCAAUCGUCGUUGUUGUUGUUGUUGUUAGCGGUGUUGUGCCGAGAAACGCAUGUCCUCCGAGAAUUGCAUGCACCUCGCAAAACGCGCACCGCUUAUAGUAGAGUGGUCCACGGAAGUGUACAAUUUAAAACCCAUACAGUUCUUAUUUGUUGGGCUUAACAGUCAGUGAAGUUCCAUAAAUAAUUCUCAGCGGACACUCGUCUCACUCCAUGUGCAGAACAUGUGCAGGGGUGGGUUUCCUCCUCUCUGAUUUUGAUUGACAGCUGGCAGGGUAGUCUGAUUGGCAACUGAGUAAAGGACAAAGGUGAUUGGUGGAUCGCUGCAAAGCACAUGCAGAGUCACAUGCAGUGUUUCUCAGUCAGCUACCCUUGAAAUUGACUGAGUUCAUUCACCUCCGACAUUGUAGGCUCUGAGAUGUGACUAUCGCACACACGUAAAUCGUGCAGGCCUACAAGAGAGAAAAAAAAACAUACAUUUAUCUGUCCGGUCCGUUUGGGACCCUUUCCUUCCGCAUUAUUGGGGACGUCCGCUGCUCAGCCCCCGUCCAUCCGCCGCCCCCCCUAUAAUCCCCCCAUAAACCCUUUUCCCCAUCGUUACUCUAAAGUUCAGCCUGCUCUGACUUCCUGUAGCAUAACCCCCCUAUUUUAUCUCUCUGGAAACACCGGGGGGGUAACCCCCCACCCCUGGGCUGAGCGGGUUUCGAACCAGGAGCCGGUCUUCAACCAGAACAUAUGGCUCACAUUAGGGUGUAGAUGUCUACCACACUGCGCCACCGGAGACCAUCCACAGUUGGGCAUGAGCUCUACGUGAUUUUAUCUUGGUACUUUUGCUCCUGGACUUUAAAAUUCAUCCUGAAUAAGGUUUGAAUCCAUGACGUCAGGAGUCCCAGUCAAUGUUCUUAUCCUGUGAGCCAUGUGGACACACAAGCCACAUGGCCUACUAGAAGGAUAUAGAGGUAUAAGUUUGUCCACCAGGGGGUGCCAAACUCCAGACAGAAGCUUUAAAUAAAUUAUUGCUAACUCAAUUCUGGAGUUAAAUCACUUUAUCCCUUUAGUACAUUCAUAGUACUUCUCAGUUAAUAAUAAUAAUAAUAAUAAUAAUAAUAAUAAUAAUAAUAAUAAUGAAGAAACCAAAAGCACAAAUAAUCAAAAAGAUUAGGGAGUUAACAUCAGCAGCGUUUUUCUUAAAAUAAAAGCAUGUAAAGCCUGAAUAACAUGCUAACAUAAGAAAAUAGAAUCGCUGCUUUUUGCACCAGCAGACGUAGCUUUAAAACUGGUCCCAGUGAUUUCCACAAUACCUGUUCCAGUCUAGAGUCUCUUUUGUCUGAGCUGUGAUACAAAAACUCUGAUAACCAGAGUUUUCUUCCUGCCAGCUGCUGACGAUAUCUGAGAAAUAAUAUUUGAAUGAAAAUAAAUAAUGGAUUCAAUCCCACAGGGAAACAAAUUUGGGUUCUUGUGGAGAGGACUCAAUUUAUUUUAACAUUACAGCACAUUAUAAUGGUCCCACAGGGUGACCUUAAUUCCACAGUCAUUUCCAUUUGCAAUUCAGAGAUAAAGCUCCACAGAGAAGAUACAGCCUGACCUUCAUCACUCAGCAAAACCUCGUUAGAAACCACAAAAUAACCCCGCCGCUGCAGUCAGACCCGUCUGAGCCGGCCUGAUAGAACUCCAUUCUUUUCAGACCGAUACACAACCUUCACUUCACAUUCAAACUCUGCAGCCGCUCUCCGGCUCAAAUCGACGACUUUUAAAACACAACAACCAACCAAUCUGAACAGAGUCGGUCCCUGCUGGAGUGUAACCUCGCUCCAAAUGUCAUGCAUGCAUCUUUCAUGCCGUGUUUCACCCAACAGUGUGUGGCACAGAUUAGGUCUGCUGCUUCUAUACGAGGCCUGUCGGUGGUGAAUAUGUAUGAGUGUGUAUGAGUGUGUGUGUCAGAGUCAGGAGUCAUAAAGAGGACGGCGUGGCCUUAUUGUUCUGAACACAUAUGAGGAGACGAGUCGGCCCUCCUCGCACCUUUGCGCUUGUGCAGGAGCUGCAACGGUGCACACUGAGCUGCUGCUGCUGUUCAGUCCGAGGAGGUGUCAACGUGUGACCCGGGGUUUGUCAGAAUACUGAUCCAGAACAUGUCGUACCUGGUUAAAGUGGCAUUUAAAGGUGGGGUAGGCAGGAAUCAGUUAUAGAAAUAACAGGAAUAUAACAUUAUUGCUGUGUUCUCUUAUGUCUGUGUCGUCGACAUUUGAACAUUUUUGAGCGGUCCGCUCUUUCUGACUGUAAACAAAGCCGUUCUCCACCUCCUCUAACCUGAUUGGUUGUGAGGCAGACGCUGCUCCCCCGUGUCGUUCAGGAGCCCAAACAAAGUUAGCGUGCUACAAUAUCGGACAGUAGAAACCAACCAGAAAGUUCGGAAAAUUGUCUGAAUCCUCCUUUGGCCACGACUGCCGACACAAGCAAGAAAACACUCAAACAUAAACAGUCAGCAAGAAAACAGUCAGCAAGAAAACUGUCAACAGGAAAACGGUCAACACCAAAACAGUCAACAAAAAACAGUCAACAAGAAAACAGUCAACAAGAAAACAGUCAGCAAGAAAACAGUCAACCAUAAUCAGUCAACAAGAAAACAGUCAGCAAAAAACAGUCGACCAUAAACAGUCAACACCAAAACAGUCAGCAAGAAAACAGUCAGCAAGAAAACAGUCAACAAGAAAACAGUCAGCAAGAAAACAGUCAGCAAGAAAACAGUCAACCAUAAUCAGUCAACAAGAAAACAGUCAGCAAAAAACAGUCGACCAUAAACAGUCAACACCAAAACAGUCAACACCAAAACAGUCAGCAAGAAAACAGUCAACAAGAAAACAGUUAGCAAGAAAACAGUCAGCAAGAAAACAGUCAACACCAAACUGGUCAACAAGAAAAUGGUCAACACCAAAACAGUCAACAAAAAACAGUCAGCAAGAAAACAGUCAGCAAAAAACAGUCAGCAAAAAACAGUCGACCAUAAACAGUCAACACCAAAACAGUCGACAAAAAACAGUCAACAAGAAAACAGUCAGCAAAAAACAGUCAACAAAAAACAGUCAACAAGAAAACAGUCAGCAAGAAAACAGUCAGCAAGAAAACAGUCAGCAAAAAAACAGUCAACAAGAAAACAGUCAGCAAGAAAACAGUCAACAAGAAAACAGUCCACACCAAAACAGGCAACAAGAAAACAGUCAACAAGAAAAUGCUGCUCCCCCGUGUCGUUCAGGAGCCCAAACAAAGUUAGCGUGCUACAAUAUCGGACAGUAGAAACCAACCAGAAAGUUCGGAAAAUUGUCUGAAUCCUCCUUUGGCCACGACUGCCGACACAAGCAAGAAAACAAAGUAAAUACCGGAGACUCUGGAGGAAUAACGGGCGCUUAAAACGGAGGUAGACCGGACAAGAGCUAAAAAGCCGGGUCAACAUAAACGAUGGGGGACGCUUGGGGAUCUUAUGGCUCCAGGUUGUCCUGAUAAAAACAUGGCUGUCACAUGGUUGUGUGUUUCUUUACACGGAGAGACCAGUCAGUAAAAUAAGUGAAGAAGGACUUAAAACCGCUAAAACGUGAAACAGCCUCACCAACAACACCAACGAUGAGUAUUCGGUCAGCUCUAUAAUCAGGAUGAUUAUUGGUAUUUUGAUCUAACCGGCUUCAAGACGGCAGAAUUUACCAUCCUUUAUAAAUAAUAACUGUUCUUUUCUUUUUCCAUCCUGGAUGUCCGUAAAUCUAAAAUUGUUACCUGACCAUUUUGAAUAAAAACAGACUUUCUCUGUCUCUCUCUUUUUUACCUGGUAUUUUUUAUUUUCCCUACUUUAAUAAUUUAAAAUGGCAGAACGGAAACUAAAGUCCUUUGUUUCGAUAUUUCUCCCAGUUUUGUUUCUCAUUUCUUAUUAUUGAAUUGUUUGCAUGAAGCAGUCCUUUUUUAUACUAUGAAGACCACUUCUCCAAAAAUGACUCCAUCCUUACUGAACGGAGCUGAACUGAAACAGACAGAAAAGCUCCUUUUUGAAGAACUUGUACACAAUAACAAUCACUUCCUGGUUAUUUCAAGUCAGAUAAUUCUGAGAGUCAAAGAAAACUUCAGGAAGAAGGUUUUUUUUUUUUUUCAUUGGAGGUAUUUUUGGUGAAGGCUCCGGAGGGAAGGUGAAGACGGGGCCGUUUUAGUAGGCCAGGUCUAUUCUGGGUUAUAUGGAGAACAAUGUUUCUCCAAUAUUUCAUCUGAAUAACAGAUGGAGAGAGGGAGGUAUAGGGGGAGGAGAGAGGGGUGAGCGGGGCGCUGGAACUCACCCAGAACAUAUCAUAAACCCAACAGCAAGGAGUCGAGCGUGGAAGUAGGACUCGGGUUUGUGGUGAAGAAAAAAAACCUACAAAGUCACCUCACAACCGCGUGUCUCCUCCUUCUCCUCCUCCUCCUCUUCUUCUUCACUCGCUCUUUUUAAGGUGGAACUGAGAAACGUCCUUCGGUCCUGCACAGACAGAAAUAACUGAGCUGUUUGUGAAAAAAGAGGGAAAAUCAUCGUCAUCAUCAUCGUCAGAGUUUAGAGGAAGAACUUAUGAACUCUGUUUCAAGCUAACUUUGUUUGGGCUCCUGAACGACACGGGGGAGCAGCGUCUGCCUCACAACCAAUCAGGUUAGAGGAGGUGGAGAACGGCUUUGUUUACAGUCAGAAAGAGCGGACCGCUCAAAAAUGUUCAAAUGUUGACGACACAGACAUAAGAGAACACAGAGAUAUCGAUAUAUUACCAAAUGUCAUCAAUAACUAAUAACUAUUGACUGAUAUUAGAAGAUUUUUUGUUUAUAAACCACAACAAAAGAUGCUUCUUUAACAGAUUCCAGCCCACCUUUAAUUAGGUCUAAACUCCUGACAUGCAUUACAGCCAAAAACCCUCAAAUCAAAUAACUGUUUUAACACUUUUAUGAUCGUUUUAUGUUCUUACUGGAGUUUUUAAAAAAAUGCACAAACUACCGCUGGGUGCAGCAAAAAUAAUCCAGAAGUAUAAAAUAGAUGGUCUGCAUUCCAGGUCAUAAAUAUUUAAGCGGUGAUUUAUAACAGCGAGAGUUUGAUCUAUUGUUGUAGCUGCUUGUUUAAUUCAAGAAGGGCACAUAAAGCCGUGUACCACACACGCUAUAAUGUGAGAGAGACUGAAGGGAGAGGAGGGAUGAGAAGUUUCUGAAACAGCAGCAAACAUUUCAUUUAGCCGCUUAGUUUCCUGUUUACUCGGCUCUGAAGGUUACAUCUUGUCUGACUGCGUGCACACGUGCGUCAAUCAUGUUCCAUUUUUAGCUCUGGUGCUGUUUUUCAUUAAUUCAUCUCUUGUCUUCUCGCUGCGAGGAAAGAAAAUCAAAGGGAGAUGAAAUGCUUUCAGGGCGCUGGGAGACGUCGGAUGUUGUUACUGAUGCGGCGUGUCAAUUAUCUGUGUACAGUAAGGAUGCACAGAGAGCAACAGGUCAGGGGACUGUUGUCGCUCCGGUUUGAUCUGCCUGCAAACAUGUUCAUCAACACCAUUAUCCAGAGAAAGAGACCAGGAUCCAUCUAGAAACAACACGAAUCACAUAUCAUUCAAGAGUGAGGACAGGGAACAGAGAGAGGUAUGAGUUAGAACGGGACUUUAACAAGUUAAUUGUGAUUAAUUAAUUACAGUGAUGUUUCUUGUUAUGAAUAUUAAACCAUAUUAAUCACACCUCCUGUUUUUUUGCACUGUGGAACGUUUCCCACUGAAAGAGUUUCAGGAAUACCGCUUAUACUGGCGCACCCCAAUGUGUGUGAGUCGCGGAUGAAUGUCAUAGCGCCAAUUCACAACAGUCGUCAUCCCAAAGAAAGAGCAGGUCCAGACCCAAUCAACAUGUCAUCUGAGUUUGGUUGCAUUCAUACUCGGGCUGGGACUCGGUUAAAAAAAUCUGAAAGUCUGAUUAAUCAGAGGCUUUGUAAUUAAUUAAUCGCAAUUAAUCGCAUUUGAUCGAAGGUGCUUUGAUCGGCUCCGGCGUGGAUGGCCAAAAGAAAGGCAAAAAGAAUUUGCAAAUCCACGCAGCCCGUCAAGUCUGCGGUAUCACCUGAAUGCUAAACAUGUUGCUGCUAGUGUGGAAGCUAGCGUUAGUCUGACUCCAAGUACACGACCCAAACCAAACCCACACUCGACCAGACGAGUGGAUUCAGAGCUAAGACGAGUAAGUUCAUGUCGGAAAAAUGAACAAACUUUCCAGGAUGAUGGAGAGGCGGAGCAGGAGAUUGACCAAUAGGAGCUGUCCAGGACGGAUGGCUCCCAUUGGUCAAUAUUUUUGCAGCCCUGCACCUGAUAGGGUGAACAAAUUUUUUCUGUUCUUUUUUCUCUUCACUUUGUGGAGAUCGCACUAAAGGACCAUGAUCGCCAUAGAAACAAGGUUCAUCCUAAUUAACAAUCUCUCCAAUCUUCACCCGUAUUCAUUUGGUUCACUAUCCAUUGAUUCGCUCAUAAACCGUUAAAAAAAAAGAUUGUCUCUGUUCUCAGGUCAAAUAUUUAUAUGCGAUUAAUUGCGAUUAAUUCAUUACAAAGCCUCUUUUUAAUUAGAUUAAUCGUUUUAAUGGAGUCCCAGCUCUGGUAUAAAUUCAACCAAACUCUGUCAGGUAAAGUUUCCUCCUCUUUAAGAAGAAAAUGAUGAAGUUUGAAGGUUUUUUUCCCUGAAUUGAGCUGAAGUUAGCUCCAUGAGAGAACGAGAUCCUCUGCAUAAUGAAAACUCGGAGACGACCUGGGACUCUCUGGGGUUUAGGUCUGGCAUAUAGAAACUAAUUGGUCCUCGUCUAUCUCUUUCUCUUUGCCUCCAUUAGUGUGUGUGGGACGAUAAAGUGCUCCAUCACAACGGGGUUUGGAUGAAGUCGGAGCUGAUGAUGAAGCUGCUUUUAGGAAGGCACACAGACACAGACAGACGGGCGGGCGGGCGAGCGCUUAUGUGUGGGAGGAAAGUGAAAAGAGCAGAGUGAAUUGGCAGAGUUAUGAGCUCUGAUCGUAGUGGAGUGUGACUCUGACUGUAUGAGUGCAGGUGCUCAAACGGGACUUCAUAUGGGAUUUAUUUGAGCAGAGGAAAGUUCUCUGAAAGCAGCAGCAGCAGCAGCCGGGUUACACCAUCAGUCCAACUUUCAGAGUUGAAAAGUUGCUGCCUAGAAGUCACUUUUUCCUUCCUCAUGACGACCUCGAUUUGAAACUCCCUUUGGCUGCUCCAGGAUUGAUUCCUCUUAUAUUUCUCUGCUUUGAUUAAAACCAUCCCUCAGUAAAAUAAAGAAAAAGUGCCAACCAAACAUUAGCAGGUUUAAAUAUCAUCUACUCAGGCCUCUAAUUUAAAACACGAGCAGCUUUUUCAGACACGCGUGGAUCACACGUCUCUGUUAUGGAUUAUCUGGGUGGUCUCCCCAAGAUCACCCUUCUUCAGUACUGUUGUGUGUGUGUGUGAUUGGGGUGUGGUCUGGUCAGGUGACCUGCUGCAGUCAGGUGAGCAGAGGUGUGAAGAAGGGGGGAGGGGCCAGAAGGAGAACAAUGGAGGAGCAGGAGGACAUGUUUGAGGAGAGAUUUGGAUGGUUCUCUGAUCCUGACUGAGGAAACCCAGGACACAUCUGGAACUGCAGGUGAUCCUCAACCAUCCCUGACAUUGGACCAGGAAGUGGUGGAACUGUGAGGAAGGGUCAGAGAGAGCAUGCCAAGGACUGGUGAGUCUGCUACUUUUGGAUUACUUUGGUUUUUUUCCCAUUGCAUUGCUGACAUUUCCUUUCUGGGACUGUGGAGGACGAGUUUUUGUUGGACUAGGCUGGAUCAGGACCAUACCUUUAGACAUUUUGGGGGACUGUAAAAGUUGGGACUCCUACUUUUGGUUUUGAUGACUUUUGGGUUUACAAGUUUUUUUUAGACCUAAUUUCAACCGUCUAGAUUCUGUAUAUUUCAGCUGAUUUGUAAGAAAGUAAGAUGGGCGUCUACGACAAACGUUCAUCUGCUUGUUGCACCAUCAGCGAUCCGACUACUUAAUAAAUAAAUGUCAAGUGUCCAGAAGUGUUCUCGGUGUAGAAAUAAUAACACGAAAUAUAAGAUAACAGAUUUUGAAGGACAUCUAUAAAUAUGAGCUCUUCAUUAACACAGAGAGCAGAGAGUCCUGAGGAUAAUGACUCACUUUAUGUAAAUUCUUUGACUUCUGAAGGACUUGUGAGGAUUUGACCCUCUGACCUCUUGGGCCCCGGGAUGACACAGUUAAAUAUUCAUGACCGUCUCCUGUCUGCGUCUGUCUCCCUCUCUGUGUUUUAAAGUCAGACUUUUACUCCGAUGAGCUCUAAGUUUGUCCGCCCGCUUUACUCCUCGCUGUAGUUCCCUGGAUUAAAACAUACCUGCGUGUUUGUCACUGAUUGAUGUCGGAAAGCUCGGCGUGUGUCCCGAGGCGACCGUCGGCGCCGUUUUAGCAACACGCCGCAAGACAAAUCCAAUCAGCUUCCACGCCUCCCUGAACAAGAGGCUCCGUGAAAACAGCUGCUUUUUAUUCACCGCAUCACAUGACCACGGGUUGAUUUAACUUCCUGUCAUCUCUUACAAACCGCAAUCAAAGCCUUUCCAACGAGCCUAAUGAAACACAGAUGGCAAAUUUCGGUUGAUGAUAUAGACGAGAAAGCAACAAAAUCAGCGUCGGUCUCAGGGUGUGCAGAGAGAAACGUUUGUUUUUAUGAGCGUGUUGUUUGUUCUGAGAUGAUCCACACUUAGAGGGAUGGUGUAAACAGACUCCUCAGGACCACUCUGGGUUUUCUAAAGCUUCACCAACAGCCUUGGUCGACCAUGGAAACAUGCGCCGAGCGUCCUCUUCUUCCCUCGCUCUCUCUUCUCUGCAUCAUCUCUUUUGUGGCUCUUUCCCUCUUCAUGCACUGACCUCCUCAUCUUGCUUUUAAAGUACUCGUUGCUUGUUGUAUCCGGCCUUCCUGUCAUCCUGAGACAUUGAACUGAUGUCUGUUAUGAUCCUGAGCUCAGAGGUGGAUGUGUUUGUGUUCCUGCGCUGUUUUUAACCUCUUUAGGAGCCACGCCACUCACCCUGCUUCUCUGUUCAACCUGCUCCAACUCUCAGCGUAAAUAUUUUCGAUAUCUCUGCCGUUGUCUCCUCCGACGUCUCCCUUCUUUUCGUCUUUGUAACAAUGAAAGUAUAUUUAACUGCUGCUGCACAAACUAGACCAGCUCAGACUCAAGGCUGGAACAAACACUGGCGAGCAAAGAUAUUAGGGCUGAAACGAUUCCUCAAAUACCUCGAUUACAAAUAAUGAUAAAGGAAUUUUCUCCGCCCUUAAAUCGUCACUGUUUCGCACGGAUUCUUUUGAAGGUGACACAAUGCGCUCACGUCACCACAGUAGAAGGAGGAGUAAGCGCUGUUUAGGUUUUGUGAAGCGGAAAACAUUGCUGGAGUCGUAGCAGAAGCAGGUAAAAGGAGUUAUUCAACUCUCGGACACUAAUGUCUUUAGGGGCGUGAUAAAAGUUAGCAUCAUAAUUAGCUUUCUUACGAGCAUCGCAGUCCGCUAACCAAAUGCUUGUUCCACGAGUCGCCUCUAUUUCUCCGAGUCUGGCCUUCAUUGCAGGACUAUAGGAAAUCUAACUGUAUGUGAGUCUGACGUUUGGGUCCGAUCACUCGAGUAAUCGAUAGAAUAUUCGGUAGAAUACUCAAUUACUAAAAUAUUCGAUAGCUGCGGCUCUAAAAGACAUUACAGUCUCUUUAUACAGUCUAUUUUUAUCUGUGCAAUUCUUCACCCAAACACUAGUUGGCAGUGAAAUUUCUACGCUUUAGCUUGGUAUUUGUUUCCAGGUCUGGGACGCGCCAAAAGAGAGCAAAGUUGACCAGCAUUGACGGGCAGUAACGCGUAAUCCAAGGGUGGAGAAUUGACAGAGAAUGCUAGGGACACGUCCCGACCAAUCAUCAGCUGCUACAGUGUAGUCCCUAUCAAAACAACCACAACCAAUGAUUAAUGCACACAAAGGGUUAACAGUCGGUCUCUGUUGGAAGUCCCGCCUCUAACCUAAAUGUCGCUCUUCCAUUGGCUGCCGGUUUCUCGCUUACAUACAUGUGAUUGGCUGUCCCCGCUGUCACUACAUCUGCCUGUAAAACAACAACAACAACAGCAGGUCGGUGUCAGACGUCAGAAGUAUCUACAACUGCUGCUGGGCAUGUUGGAGAAACAAGAAGAUGGAGCAUCGUACAGCGUUGUUUUUGUCCGACAUGAUGGACGCGCUACUUUUUCUAAAGAGGAGACGCACGCUACUCCUCGUGUUUUUGUUCCAGGGUUACGGGGGCGUGGCUCACGCGCACUGUGAGCAUUGUCUGAUCAUACUCCGACUACGCUGGUUACAUGGUAGAGAAAAUCGGAUUCCAAUCACAUUAUCUAGGUGUCUUAGUUUGAGUUCUCAAACUUGGAUUAUAGUCGGACUAAGGUGUUUACAUGCACUUCAGUUGUCUGAUCUUUAUCGGAGUAAGGAAUAAUUCAUUUUUCUUGAGUGUCGUGUAAACAUCCUGACUGUAUCUUGCAGUGAUUAAUAUGGAGUAUACAUGUUCUGUAAACCUGAUGCAGCUCCUCUGAGCUGUUUUGGAGCCGAGUUUGUCGUUUUCAGCAGUUUUUGUUCCUCUUCUUUGUGGGAGUCGCAUCGAUACGAAGCAUCUUCAACCGGGAACAGGACAGAGUGUUCACAUGGUCGUUAAGCCCACACUGAUAUACGCUGUACUCGCUGUUGCCUGGGUUUUAUUACCAAGUCCCAGUCUCUGCUGAGUAGUUUGGGAUGGUACUUCAUGAGGCCUACCCUCCAUGUGAGCACACAAAUCCAGCUGAAGUGCUGAGACGGAGGGCGUUUGAGAGAAGCCCUCAGCUGUACGAGCCACGCUGUUCUGUCCAGUGUUUGUCGUUCCUAAUAUCAUAAUUGUGGGGGUUUAUGAGUACAGAAACAAUGUCCUGCUGAAAACAAUGACAGCUGUCAGCUUGAAGCUCCAGUAAGUGGCUUUAAUUUUCAGAAAGCACAUCAACAGGCCUCUAAAACCUGCUCUUCUCUGAGAACAAACAGCUCUCUUGAAAUAAGAGUGAAUGAUAAAAUGAAAACAUGUCUGCUCUACACAAACAACACACCUCUGAGUAAACCGAACCAAGAACAAGGUCACCGUGUUAAUCUGACGGAAACAGAAAAUCUCUCAAUUGGACUCAGUUAAUGAAGCUUUAAGAGGCAAUAAGAGAUAAAUAACCAGGAGAGGUCGGACCCCCCCUGCUUCCUACUCUUCACCUUGACUCUGCUCUAAAUUAUUCAAAUUGGACUUUAACGACAUCUUUCAUGACUUCCAACUGUAUGCAGAGAUGCAGGUGCUAAUCAGUGUUGAUAAUAAAUUGUAAUGUCAACGACUUAUUAUGCUGAUAUAAUCCUCAAACGCCUGGGGAUAAUAAAUCGGGCUCCUGCGUGUUCCUGCCAAAGAAGGCUUGAAAAGUCGCAUUAAUUAGCGGCGAUAAAUCUGGCUCGUAACUUUAAUAAUGACCUUGCCUCCACUCUUUGUCUUGCAGGGAUCAGUGAUCUCAGUCUGGUCUCUGAUAAUAUUGUACCGGCUCAGGUAUUACAGCGUCAGCACUAUGCAAAUCUCUCCAUUAAUGCCGGAAUAAUGUGGUCGGGAAUGCUUGAUUAAUUAAGUCCGGAAAAAAGCUGACAUCCCGGUGUGUGUCGCAGGUUUAUGAUGAGGAUGUAAAGAACGGUUUCUGAUAAGGACGCAGCAGGAAGAUAACGAGCUGGUGUGAUAACGAGCUGUUGACGAUAACACAGUAAAGAGACUCUGAAAGACUGAAUACUCUGCUUUAUAUGAGGAUUAAGAGUUCGUCUGUUUGAGCGUUUGAGUCACAAACUUUGCUUCAUUUUAGCUACUGUCCCUUCAAGCCCUGUCAGCGUUCUAGAAGCUUCCUUCACUGUUGUCAUGACACAAAGUUGUUUUUUACCUUUUUAGGGAGAUUCACUGACCGGUAAAGUCAUGAUGUAAGCAGAUCUCAUUUUGGUCUCACUUAAUUUUAGUGUGACUUUUUCGGAUUACUGCGACACACAAUUACCUUAAAUCUGAAACUUUACUCAUGUAGUUUUGACGACCAACAGACUGACUUAAAGGGAUAUUCCAGUGUAAAUUCAAGUUAGGGUCAAACACGCCGUAACACAGAGUUAGACCCCCCCUCCAGAGAUGAAUGUUGCCGACCGCUUGCUUCUCUACUUAUACCAACUUUAGUCACGACCGCACGACAGCAAUACACAGCGGUCUUCGUCUCCACAAACGCCACUCUAUAGCCACAAAUAAUGCUCAGAACAGCACCUAACUUCAUCAACAUCUUUUUAACUUUGAAUAAUUUCUUUAGCAGAGAGACUAAACACAACUCACCUACUCUCUUCCAGCAGCUGUUUGUUUUAGCGAGACCCCUGACGAGUCGAUCACCGAGUGCAGCGGAUCAUUUACAUGACGUAAUAAUCAUCAAUUUGUACGAAUCGGUUCUUUAGCUGACUGCUCAAACACAACCAGAGAAGGAGAACAUUUAUUUAUGUCACAUGAGAAGUUGAACAGCGCUGGACUCGGGAUGACAGAGCUCCAAGGAUCUCCAUCACAAGUGACCGUUUCCGGUAUCAUUCAGAUUUAUCUUCUGGACAGAGGUUGGACUUAAACACAACUGAGUAUCACUGGCCAGUUAUCUCUAAGAUAAACAGGCUAACCACUGUUCACAUGAUUUUACUAAAAUGUGCUCUGAAGUAUAUGUGUUGUUGACCUUUACGUGUGUAACUACUGCUGCAAACCGGUCCAACAGAACAAAGGGAGCCUUAUGGCUCAUCAGGUUUCUCCUUAUCAAGCUAGACGUCACACUGUUCUGAGUAAAUGUAAACAUCCAGUAAGUUGAAUUAGUUCAGUGAAAAAGAGCAAAUCUAACCUAAAGUGAAAGACAAUAAUAUUUUUCUCUGCAGACGCGGUAGUUCUUCUGUCUUAGCGUCUCGGUCUGAUUGUAUUUCCAUGAAGAAAUGAUCAUAAAUGUUCUUCCUUGAGCUGCGAAACUCCACUGCACUCAGUGAUCGACUUGUCAGGGCUCCCCUACAAACAAGCGGCUGCUGGAAGAGAGUAGGUGAGUUGUGUUUAGUCUCUUUGCUAAAGAAAUGAGUCAAAGUUAAAAAGAUGUUUGGUGUCUAGUACUAUGGCUGUGACCCUAUAUGUCCUGUUGAUGAAGUUAGGUGCUGUUCUGAGCAUUAUUUGUGGCGUUUUGGUUGAGGUUUGCGCGUUGUCGAUGUAGACCGCUGUGUUUUGCUAUCCUGCGGUCGUUACUAAAGUUGGUAUAAGCAAACGGUCAGCAACAUUCAUCUCUCUUUAAAGUUUCUAGUGUUACAGUAUGUUUGACCAUAACUUAAAUUUACUCUGGAAUAUACUUCAACAGUUUGGACUCGUCUCGUCUUGUCUUGUUGUGCAUGAGGAAUGAGGUGAACUCGAUGCCUCCAUGAACCUUCAUUCUUUAUGUUUGCUGUGUCUUUGUUUGUCUGCCUGGUUGGUCUAAAAUGUCUCUGUUACCUCUUAAAUUCGCUCUCACAGGUCGCUCGCUCAUUUCCGUCUGAAAUAGCUCAGCUUUCUCUCACAACUUGCAGGCUGCAAUUUCGAGCACUCAGUGUAAUCAAAUAUAAUUACAGAAAAUCUGUGCAUGAAUUAUUCCUAUUUAUGUGCGUCUGCCGGUCUCCACACGGCGGCCAUCGUUUGAGAUUUUUCCAAACCGUGGCCAGGACGUUUUGUGUCGCUCUGCAAGCCCCUCCAGUUUCAUCAGAGUUUUAUCUCUCUGUGCAGAAAACGGAGCUCAUUCACAUGAAGAAAUGUGUCCUGAUAGCUACAAAUAACAGCUCUGACAGUGGGUGCUCCUGUGCACUGCACUAACAGAGGAUUUAUGUCAGGGUUUGUUGUUUAAAUGGCAUCAUAUUUUUAUCAUCCGAACCUCUUCUGAGCGUGCCGCAGCCGCCGAACCCACACAGCUACACCCAGAGAUCAUCUAUUAAAGACAUUUUAUGCUACAGCCAGCCGAAAUAAAUCUCCAUGAAUGACAGUCCAGAUAAAAUCCUACAUCACACAACAUGCCGUGUGAGGCGAUAAUGAUGAAUUUUACUGCGAGAGAGAAAAAGCAAUAAGAGGCUAAUUUCACAGAAGAAUCUAAAGAAAAAAGCAGCUGUUUCUGUUUAAUAACGUUGUGAAAUCGUCUUUAUUCUGACGUCGUUUUCGUUCGUCCCUCUAAAGGGAGCAGCAGGAGUUUACAGGUGUUGUGUUGUUUACAAAAUUAGCUGAUUGUGAAUAUUAAAUCACAGCUCUGUUCAUCACUAAUGCAGAGCUGAGCUGGUUAAGAUGCACAGAAUCAAUCAUCUAAAUGGGAGCAUGAAGGCGGAGAGUGCGAGAGUGCGCCGUCUAAUGAGUUGAACCUGCGGAGGGGCUCACCGCUCACCUCAGAGAGUGAUGAAACCGUCUUUAACACACAACAGCUGUUUGAUCCCCUAACCUAAAAAAAUAAGAUCACUACAGGAUGUACAGAGAGGUGCUGCUUCUUUAAGUCAAACAACAGGUGAUCUGCUUCUGUCAGACCAAAAGUGGAGAUCCAUAUCCUGAAACCUCAUGAAGCAUUUUCAAAACCCCCAAAAAUCAACAAUCGAGCUUGACAAGUCUGCGAUCAGGUUUCGAGAGUCCCAAAAGUGAAGAUAGAGAUGAUAAAAAAUGUAUUUUGUGUUGCAAAGUAAUGUAUUGCUAGGGGGAACAAAACGUAGAGCACAUCAGAACGAGCAAAAGCGCAGAACCCUGAGAUCAAAACUAUAGACUGUAUAUAGAAAGGACGCCAUCUGCCUCCUCGCCGGGUGAAGCCUCAGCCUGUUUGAGCCGAGUGUCACGACAGCAACUCUCCACGACUCUCCCGCCGAAUGCGCAUAACGCUACUGCGCAAUGUUGGUUUCAGGAAGUGGAGAAAAAAUCGCGGAAAUACCGAGAGCUUUUUGGCUUCAAAUCUGGAUACUGGCAGAAGGCGGAAUACAGAUAGACCGUAGACCACACACAACAGUUUUUAGUCUCAUUCAUGAAACGCUUAAAUCGGGGACAUUUUCGAGGACAGCUUUUGGAAAUCAGGGAUGUUUGGUCACCUUACUCUACGCGCUUGUUCCUCUAAAGAUGAAAGAUGACUCUACUUUCGAUGGAGCAUGCACUGAGCAUGUGUCUAUCUUCACAGAGAAGACCGUCAUAGACAGGAAGUCAAACACAACAAUCACAGAAUAAAAUCUAAAUUAGCCGCUACGCUCCAAACGCUUCCAGUGGGCGAUGACGCACAUUGUCCGAGGGAGCCGGGACGCACCCAACACAGAUCCUGUAGGUUUUCUGCUUUUGACUUUCUGCAGCCUGAAACAACUCAGCCAACUACAUCUGCAACUGCUCCAGGGUUACGAUCCUCCUCUGUCCGGAUAGUCAAACAUGUUAACCGAAUGUUGAAUUCAGUGGGAUAGAAGCGAGUCAGCUAACUAAACCAGUGACACAGGAUUACACAGAGAGACGUUCAGGGUCGGGUUGGUAAAAAGAGAAUUUAGUGAUGUGUUCAGAGGACAAAAAAAAAAAAUCUGUUAAAGGUUAAAAGUUAAAACAAACUAGAACAGACUCUGUAAGAACUUGGAUCAGGAAGGAGUCUCAAUGAUAGUGUCAGUAUGGAUAAAAAUUAAACUCUUGUAUCUGCAGAAAUAAAACAAAAGUAAAAAUGCUUGGUGGUUAAAUAAGUGAGUCUACCUUCUCUCCUAUUUUUCCUACUUGACAGUUUACACAGGUAUUAAAACUUGACGUAAAACUCCGACUCUGAUCAGGAUUUAUGAGGUUUGUCUGAGCCGACCAAACGGCCUCCAAUCUAAACACAUUUCCUCUUUGUUCUGUUUCCUUAAUCGACCCCUCCUGAUGCUAAAAUUAACUCUAAAUGGUAACACCACCCCGUCUGCCUCCUGUCCACCUGUUGUAAAGAGCGCAGCAGGCAGCAGGUCAGAUCAGGCAGGUAAUCGUCUCAUCAGCUCCAGCCUGAAUCAGCUCCUCCAACAUGCUGAUUUUCCGCUGUGGUUAAAAAAGCUCGCUGUACCGCUGAGCGGGAUUAGAGAGGAGCGAACCAACGGAGCGUGCCGGUGCAUUUAAGUGUAUCAAUUCUGAAUCUGAUUAAUCUUUCCUUUGCCAAUCCCAACGACACCAUCAGGCUGGAGUUUCUACGCUGUUGCAUAUUCUGAUCACCCAAACAUUUAACUUUUAUGUCAGAGCACGGCUCGUGUUGUUUGUGUGGACUACAGAGAAGUUUCAGAGCCGGGGAUGUGAGAAAAACAAGAGGUGGAAGUUUUUUUUAUGAUGCAUUUAAAGAAGAAAGUCAGGAAGUGAAAAAAAACAUCAAAUUUGGUUUAUGACGGAGCCUAGAUUGAUGAUUGAUCAACUAAAUCCCUCCGAGCAGCCAGAACUAAAGGGAUGCACGAUUUUCAAGAUCCAUUUGGUGAAUUUCGUGGUGGAUCACAAGAACCCGCGGAUUCACGUGCAACUGCGUGAUAGCAAAUUGUCUUUAGCUGCAAAGGCUAACUAUAAAAGCAGUAGAUUGUGUCCUUCCAGAGGAGGAAAUCUACUUCUAGACUUCUAGAAUCAGCAUCUCCUCAUCCAUGGUGUCAUCGGGGUGAAAUGACGUCUAAAAACCUUUCACUUGUUCGUCUCCGCCCGUUUGCAUGGUGUGAAAUACGAUCCUCCUGAAACACGGAGUGUUUUAUUUUGAAAAGAAGCCGGAUGUUUUAUUUUGUGUCUGUGCCCGACUUCCUUUCCAGCACGGGUUAAUCUGUGCUGAAUUUAUCCGCCAUGCUCCGGCGUCCAGAAAAAAUAGAACUCUUGUGAUCAGCUGAGGAGUCCGGCGAUCCUCAGAGGAACGGAAAGAAGUCGGUGGAAAUUGACACGUUAACUUGAAUGGUUACGAUCAGCUACGAUCGGAGGAUACGACCUUUUCGUAG